rnacentral:rRNA from 1 species
AUUGAACGCUGGCGGCAGGCCGAACACAUGCAAGUCGAGCGAGCGGCGGACGGGUGAGUAAUGUCUGGGAAACUGCCUGAUGGAGGGGGAUAACUACUGGAAACGGUAGCUAAUACCGCAUACCAUCAGAUGUGCCCAGAUGGGAUUAGCUGGUAGGUGGGGUAACGGCUCACCUGGGCGACGAUCCCGAGCUGGUUUGAGAGGAUGACCAGCCCACCUAGAACUAGGCCGCGGUCCAGAGUCCUACGGUAGGCAGCAGUGGGUAUUAUUGCACAGUGGGCCCAAGCCGGAUGCAGCCAUGCCGCGUGUGUGAUGAAGGCGUUCGGGUUGUAAAGCACUUUCAGCGGGGGGGCGUUACCCGCAGAAGCGGCACCGGCUAACUCCGUGCCAGCAGCCGCGAUAAUCC